CGAACUUGCGGAAUGUUCCGAAUUUCGUGUUUCUUCUCCACGUGGUAAAAAAUGGCGUAAAAAUCGAGGUUUAUAUUGAUCAAUCAUACCUUUAUUUGAAGGUAAUAUGCUUUAUUUAAUAUCUGUAUUUGUAGUAGAAUACUUAGAUUGCUAAUGUAGAUGGCAUUUUUAGGUAUCGGGAUCGAAUUUAGUGCGAAAUGUCGGCAUAAAAUUUGUAGUUAAUUGCACGUGGUGCUUUGGUCGAUGUCGAAAUAAAAACCCGCGAUCUGUUGUUAUUAAUAGCACUGACCAAUUCAAUAAAAAGACUAAGUAAGGUAUAAAAUUGUUGAAAUCAUCGAAAAAAGUCCGUUGUUUUUGAGUUCUUGCCAGGAUCUAUAUAUUUUACAUCAUAAAUUGUCAUCAAUUGUCAGAGCACUCUUUUCUUGACAAGUAAAAUCGUCUGGCGUUAGACUAAAAUAAUAAAAUAGGGUGCAUCUUGAUAAUAGUGUUAAUUUUCGGUUACUUGAUUAAUCCAGCCUCUUCCUGUUGGGGAAAUUCUGCUGUCCAGAAUCAGUCCGAGCAGAAUUCUAUAUGUAAAUUAUCAAAGGCAAAUUAAAGCUCAUUACUGUAUGUCACAGAAAUACAGUUAUUGUAACUAAAGUGCCUUGUCUUAAAGGACGUUAUGAAGCAAUGUAUUUCAUUAAAAACCAUUUCAGACCCCCGGACGUUUACAAAGGUGUCAUCCACAUCCCCAAUCUCACUCUUAACUUUUCUGUAAAGUUGAGAGGUCUGUGUACCUCAGUUAUUAGUUGGUCAUUCGCAUCUGUAAAAUUAUCUUAAAAUUUUGUAGAUAUUCAUUGCAAGUUGAAUCCACAUUGUCCCAAGUUCCUGCCUGACAAUAUGUUGAGUAUUAUGAAAAAUGAACCCUUUCGAAAGACAUAAAUAAACGGUAUGUGCUUUUCCUGUUUACAUGUAUUUUGUAUAUCUUAACAUCUUUUCCAUUUAACCCAAUUGAGUGCCCGCACUCUCCCCUUGACAAGUAAAAUUGUCUGGCAUUAUAGACAGAGUAAAAAUAAUAAAGUACUGGGUGCAUUAGGGUGGAAUGCAUCUUACAAUCAAACCGGAUGUUCUCUUGCAAGCAACAUUGCAAUAUUGUCCCACAAUAUUGCAAUUUUCAUAGGCAGAUUGCUCUGAGCAAUUUGCAACCGACGCGAACAAAUUGCAAGUUGAAAUUCACAAAAGAUUUGUAAACAAAGCCUCUGAUUGGACUAUAAGAAAGGGGGAAGCACCAAUCCAGUUGCUCAGACUAUUUGCAUGGCUUCCCUUUUCUUAUAAUCCAAUCAGAGGCUUUGUUUACAAAUCUUUUGUGAAUUUCCAUUUUGCAAUUUGUUCGUGUCUGUUGCAAUUUGCUCAGAGCAAUCUGCCUAUCAAAAUUGCAAUAUUGUGGGACAAUAUUGCAAUGUUGCUUGCAAGAGAACAUCCGAUUUGACUGUAAUAGGAUGCAUGGGCAGUUUGUUUGGUUAAUCCAUUGAGUGACAGCACUCUCCAUGUGACAAGUAAAACCUUGACAUGUAAAAUCGUCUGGCGUUAGACAGAGUAAAAUACUAAAGUAGGGUGCAUCAGGGCGCAUUGCCACUUAUUAAAGGGUUAAUUACGUUAUAUAUUAUACCAUACAUCUUUCAUAAUUAUUAUAUCACUCUCUUGAAUGCCAUCAAGGGGAGGAUUUUAAAUUAUUUCACAUCCUCGAUAAUCAAUUUUGGAAUUUUUAGAUAUUAUGUUGCAAGUUCCAAGAAUGGUUGAAGUUGUUGGCUGAAGUUUGUAAACCACAAAAAGAACACUGUCAUUGGAAAGUAAAUUAACAGGUCUUGAUAUUUUUAUGUCUUAUUUUAUGUAUCUCGUGCUUUGAAAACUACACAUAUAAUUGCUGUGAUCAGUGGCUGAGUUUACUACCGAGUUUUUUAAAAAAGCUAGCAAAAAUAUCAUUGCCAUUUUAUUCAAGACACAAACGAAAAUGGAAAAUUAACAAAAAGUUAAAGCAAAAAUAAUAAUUGAUUGUGAAUCCACAAUAUUUUUUUAUGAAUGCACAAGCCUUUCACUUGGCAGGUGUAGAUUUGGAAAUUGCAGUUUUACGCUCUGCUUUGUUGAAGCUACCAAUCACAGCCAGUUACUAGUUUUCAAAGCAUUAUAAUUUCAGAUCAAGCCAAGGAAUGAUAAACUGUGUGUUUUGAAAAGUGUACAUAUAUGCUUUCAGUUUGGAUAUACAUUUUUCAUGUUUGGCAUAAUAGCUAGUUGUUGAAAAUGCAUGCUUAUUUGGGUUUUCAAGUUUCAAAAGAUUUUCCAUGUUAAGAUAUCAUAAUUUGUGGCAAAAAAUAAAACAAUUCAGUUUGUCAUUAUUUGGCUUUGUAACAUCAAUUGAACAAUGAGAAGAUUGAGAUGGUUCUAUAAGAAACAUUCCCUUACAGAUAAAACAUGUCAGUUCAAAUCGCCUAUUUGACCAUGAAUUCUGUAUUCUGUGUUUUCUUUUAUUCAUUUGAAGCAUGUUCCCAUUCAAACAUGAAAAUGAACAGUGAACUUGAACUUGUUUAUCAAAAUGCAUUGUGAAUAAAAAAUAAUUUUGGUUUCUGAAUUACCAUCUUAAUCCUCUUUUGUUUAAGCAGACAUCAAGUGUUUGUUUGACAGUUAGGGAAGUUUGUUUGAAAUCACAAUAUUUGUAUCAAAAUUUAGGUUCUAGAUGUUAUUAGAGCCUUGGAAUAUUAAAUCUUGGAACAAGCAAUUUGGAUCAAUUGCAGUAUACAACACCUUUUAAAUUAGCACUGUUAGAACUGCCUUGUUGUUUAAUAGUCUUGUCUUAUUUAUCCCAGCACACUCUUAAUACAUGAGUUUGAUUAUUCCUGGACACAAAUAAAAUGGAUUUGUUGAGGAACAAGGCAGUUCUAUACAGUGUUGACUUAUAGGGGGGUUGUAAACUUCAGUUGUUAUUUGAUUCUUGUGGCAAACACAUUCAGCAUUGUUGUUUUUAACGACACAUUUGAACUUCGGAACAAAUAUUGUGAUUUUAAAUAAAUUAAAUUAUAAUUUUCACAACUUUAAAACAAACAAUUGAGGUCUAAAUAAGCUAGCAUAUUGUCUUUACAUUAUUACAAAGUGGACUUGUUUGAAUACGGAUGAACUGAAGCAACAAGACUACAUAUACUGUAUACUCAAAUUUGGGCUAAUGCAAGGUUGUAUAACUAAAAGAAAAUUGAUGUUACGCACAGCAAAGAAAACCACAACCAGACGAAGUUGAUGUUUUUCGGAAUAUGUUUUGAUUUGUGGCAAAGAAAAAAAAAACAAUGAAAAGUAUUCAAAAG
rnacentral:lncRNA from 1 species